AUUGAACGCUGGCGGCAGGCCUAACACAUGCAAGUCGAGCGGAUGAAGGGAGCUUGCUCCUGGAUUCAGCGGCGGACGGGUGAGUAAUGCCUAGGAAUCUGCCUGGUAGUGGGGGAUAACGUCCGGAAACGGGCGCUAAUACCGCAUACGUCCUGAGGGAGAAAGUGGGGGAUCUUCGGACCUCACGCUAUCAGAUGGGCCUAGGUCGGAUUAGCUAGUUGGUGGGGUAAAGGCCUACCAAGGCGACGAUCCGUAACUGGUCUGAGAGGAUGAUCAGUCACACUGGAACUGCGACACGGUCCAGACUCCUACGGGAGGCAGCAGUGGGGAAUAUUGGACAAUGGGCGAAGGCCUGAUCCAGCCAUGCCGCGUGUGUGAAGAAGGUCUUCGGAUUGUAAAGCACUUUAAGUUGGGAGGAAGGGCAGUAAGUUAAUACCUUGCUGUUUUGACGUUACCAACAGAAUAAGCACCGGCUAACUUCGUG
rnacentral:rRNA from 1 species